rnacentral:lncRNA from 1 species
CAAAGACCUGGGAAAAAAGCGUCAUUCCUAAAUUUCUCCCCAUUUCCCCCAAAAGUAAUAGUCCCCAAGAGACUCCCUCAACAAUUUGGCCCCAAAAUUUGAUUCUCCCAUGUGACUCCCUCCGAUGAAAACUAUCCGGCCCGAAGUGGCUCCCUCCGACGACAACACGGUGACCCCAAAAUCUGAGAAAUUGUAGUGACUCCCUUCGACAACAAUCCGAGUAGCAUUCAACAAGAAAUCAGGCAACCUCACCAAAGCCCGACUUUAUCCAUCUCCAAUGACAGACGAAGGUAAUCUCUUUCUUGGGUAUAAUGUACUCUUGAUGCAUCCCUGUAUUUUGUAACAUGUGAAUACGUAGAAGGGUUCUAGAAAUGACAAAUUUGUUUCGAUUACCAGAACUACAUGUGAUAAUUUUUUCUCAUAAAGUGGAUUUUUUUAUGCUUAUCUCACUUGAAGGCUGUUGUUAAUUAAAAUUUAAUUUUACUUCGUUACGAACUAAAUUGUCUUAUUAAUGAUUGUUGUGUGAUAAUUAAAAAUAUUGUUUAGCUUUAUCUAUCAUGGUGACCUUUUCGGCUCAAUUUCAUCAAUUUUGUAUUGGUUUCAUCCAGUCAAAAUUAUCCACACUCAGAAUUGGAGUUGAUGAUGAAUUUUAUGGACUUAGACCUGUUUUUGAGUUAUAUGACAUUUAAUUUUGCAAUGCAGGUUUCGUGUAUCUUUUGUUUCAAGAUUUUCUUUGUUUGAAUGAGUAUAUUUGCAAGCACCAAUCACAGUUGAAGCUCCCCACAUGAGAUGGAUGUUGAGAAAUUGUGAUGAAUAGAAGCAAUCAAAGCUUAAGCAAAGAUGAUAAAAUGGUGAUCAGAAGCAGCCAAAGCCCCCUAAUAUUUUGCUUUUGUUCUUGAGUUAGAUCAUUUUAGAAGCUUUUUGAUAAAUGUGAGAGUUUGUAUUGUGUUUUUUUUGGUUUUUGGCAUCUUCGAAAAUCUGUGGUAAAUGAUUAUGUUUGUAUCAUGCAUUGUCAUUACAAUUGAUUUUUCGGAUGUUAAAUUUCUUGAAGUUAUUGAAUCGAAAAUAUUGCGGCUAGUA